GCUUAAGUAUUUUAAUAAAAAUAUUGUUUUGUGGGAUCAAUGAUAUGAGUUUUCAUCUUAAGCC
rnacentral:tRNA from 1 species